rnacentral:lncRNA from 1 species
UAGAAAUAUUACAAAGGCUGGGAAAGUCAUCCAGCAUGAUACAAUUCACUGAUAAAAGAUUCUGAGGUGUUCAAUGUUCCAUGGACGGGGUUGUGCCUUGCCGUCCAUGUCUUCAAUCCAGUAGGUUCCAGGUCGGAUUUCUUCUCUGAUCUUGUAUGGACCUUCCCAGUUCGGUCCCAGGGAGCCGGAACCGGGUUCUUUUGAAGAUGGAAAGACCCUCCUGAGCACAAGAUCGUUGAUUCGGAAAGACCUCUUCUUGACUUUGGAGUUGAAGUACCUUGUCAUCUUCCUUUGGUAGGUGCCUAGCCUCAGCUGGGA